rnacentral:rRNA from 1 species
UACGAAGGGGGCUAGCGUUGCUCGGAAUCACUGGGCGUAAAGCGCACGUAGGCGGCCUUUUAAGUCAGGGGUGAAAUCCUGGAGCUCAACUCCAGAACUGCCUUUGAUACUGGAAGUCUUGAGUCCGGAAGAGGCGAGUGGAAUUCCUGGUGUAGCGGUGAAAUGCGCAGAUAUCAGGAGGAACACCAAUGGCGAAGGCAGCUCGCUGGGACGGUACUGACGCUGAGACGCGAAAGCGUGGGGAGCAAACAGG